UGUUUGUUUUCCUAUGUGUGAAUUAUGCUUUUAUUUUCUUUUAAAUUAUAGGGAUUAUGUUUCCGGAAGAGCUCUCAACUUCCGCAAAGGAUUGUUUUUCGCAUAUCGAUAAAUAAUUCACCUUCCUGGUUUAAAGGCUAUCUUGUCAGGAGAAAACGGAAGUGAACUUCCUGAAGCAGAAUACAGAGGCUGUGAGUGGGUCAUCAGGCAGCCUCCCUAUGUCAGGCCGAAACGGGUCUGCAAGUGAUGCAGACUGCCGGAUCUCUGAGGACUGCAAUGUCCCAGAUGCUGAGCUGAUGGAGCUGGGCCCACUGCUGGAGGAGGGAGGGGGGCGGCCUGCAGCGUCUAAAGGCGUCCAUUCAGAGGGAGCCUCAAUGCUUGCUGAGGAGGAAGAGGAGGAUGACGAUGAGGUGGGUGAGGUCCUGACCUUACCACUUCAGGCUCACCAUGCCAUGGAGAAGAUGGAGGAGUUUGUACACAAGGUUUGGGAGGGGCGCUGGAGGGUAAUCCCUUUCCAUGUUCUGCCAGAGUGGCUGAAGGACAACGAUUACCUCCUGCAUGGACAUCGGCCCCCAAUGCCCUCCUUCCGGGCCUGUUUUGGAAGCAUCUUCAGAAUUCACACUGAGACAGGAAACAUCUGGACUCACCUCUUAGGGCUGAUCUUAUUCAUUUGUCUGGGCACCUUAACCAUGUUGCGGCCCAACAUGUAUUUCAUGGCCCCGCUGCAAGAGAAAGUGGUGUUCGGGAUGUUCUUCCUGGGAGCUGUGCUAUGCCUCAGCUUCUCCUGGCUUUUUCAUACCGUUUACUGCCACUCUGAGAAAGUGUCUCGCACCUUCUCCAAGCUUGACUACUCAGGCAUUGCCCUCCUGAUCAUGGGCUCCUUUGUGCCCUGGCUGUACUACUCGUUCUAUUGUUCCCCUCAACCUCGACUUAUCUACCUCACCAUUGUAUGUGUCCUCGGCAUUGCCGCCAUCAUAGUGGCCCAGUGGGACCGGUUCUCUACACCUCGUCACAGACCAACAAGAGCAGGUGUCUUCAUGGGUCUUGGACUUAGCGGCAUCGUCCCCACCAUGCACUUCACCAUUGAGGAGGGCUUCGUUAAGGCCACCACAGUCGGACAGAUGGGUUGGUUCUACCUGAUGGGAGCCAUGUAUAUCACUGGGGCUGGUCUCUAUGCAGCCAGGAUCCCUGAACGCUAUUUUCCUGGAAAGUGUGACAUCUGGUUCCACUCACAUCAGAUUUUUCAUGUUCUGGUGGUGGCGGCGGCGUUUAUCCAUUUCUACGGGGUUUCCAACCUGCAGGAGUUCCGCUACGGCCUGGAGGGAGGAUGCACAGAUGACACUCUACUCUGAGAGGCCUGACUGUGACUUACUCAUAAUUUUCUUUAUAGUCAGACACACACACACACACACACACACACACAAUCACUUAAAAUGCUGCUGGAAUUCAAUAUAGUCACUUACUGCUCCUUCUGUACUUCUGAUUUGCUAACAUCUUGUUUGGGUUUUGGUGGUCUUUAUGUUUGGCUCUUUUUUGCUCCAAUAAAGUAGCAUUGACUAGCCAUUAAACUGCGGAGGGAAACUUCAACAGGCACUUCUUCGUCAAUAAUUAUGAAACUUGAAGUCUACAUUUUCAAGUAAGGUCACAAUGAGAUUUUUAAACCAAAAUCGUAUAUUCCUGAAACUGAUGGUCACUUCUUAGAAGCUCACCCCAACCCCUCUUCAUAGUCUGUUACCAUUGCACAGAGAAUACAGAGAGUAUUAUUCGUGAUGUAGCAGAGGGCACAUACUGUAAACUAUUCCUAUCCUUCCUCCCAGUUUCCAUGCAGAUCAGAGGAUGAAUGUACUGUCCACCAGGAGUGAGCUGUAGAGCAGUCCAGGACCAUUUAGGUACUUGAGGGCCCGCUCACACAUUUGUGUUAGGAGGAUAACAUUUUACACAUAUAGUGUGUGUAUAGAUGUCACCAGAUGUUUUUUAUCUGUGCUGAGACUGAUUGUGCAGCUGUGUGUUAAAACCUGGAGGACUAGUACGAACCCACCAUUGCCCGCUCUGCAAUAAAACAUGAACUGUACUCUAAAGGCCCAAUCAGUCAAUCUAAAAUACAUUAUUAUUAUUGUUAUUAAAGGAACAUAGAUCUUAAAUUCUACAAAUGAUUGUUAGAUGUUUCUGAUUAACACAAGGUGAAUGCUCAUCAGAAUUAUUACCAAAUCAUCAAAAAAUCAAGCGGUUGGAUACUAAAACUGAUUUCUCAGUUUCUUUUAACUUUAUACUGAAACAUUUUAAAGUUCCUUUGCAUUUUGUUGAAUUGUUAAUUGACAUUAUUACCAAACAAAGGAUUUUCAAAUUAAAUAAUGGCACAGAAAAGCUGCAAUGGCAAAAAUAAAUCUGGUCAGCUGAUGUUAGACAAAAAUGCUUAAAAUGUAGAAGUUAAAAGAACUCCCCAGCCAUCAUGUUUUAGUCAUGCAACACGUCGUUGAUUAAUUUCUAGAGUAAUAGUUCCUGGGCAAUGCACAAUGUACAGAUCUGGAUCAGUCAAAUUGUGUUUUUGUCAGCUAGAGAUAUUCCUUUUGUGCUAUAUUUCAGAUGCAAUGAGAGGUGUAAAUAUCAAAUGCACCUUAAUGUAUACUAUUCAAUUCAAAACUUUAAAUCA